rnacentral:lncRNA from 12 species
UGAGACCCCAGACCCAAAUUAACCCCAGAGCCCUCCCCGAGUGCCCUGAGACCCCAGACCCAAAUAAACCCCAGAGCCCUUUUCGAGAACCCUGAGACCCCAGACCCAAAUUAACCCCAGAGCCCUCCCCGAGUGCCCUGAGACCCCAGACCCAAAUUAACCCCAGAGCCCACUUGAGUAUCUUGGGACCGCAGACCCAAAU